GGCUUUGGCCUGGUGGGGCCUCUUCCGGUGUACAUGGCAGGAAGCUGUGCUCUUCCUGCUGGACGUCAGCUCCUAUCUCUCCUGGGGAGUGGAGGCUGCUCUGGAGUGGGGCCAAGAUCGGGAGGCUCAGGAGAGAAAAGGGCCUGCGAUCUACCUCCCAGUCGACAAGAUGCUAUAAUAAAAACAUAGCCAACAGUCGCUCAGCGUUUAUUACGGUGCCAGAUGAGGAAACAGGUGCAGAACCGUGGAGUAACCUGCGCUGGGUCUCCAGUAGAAAAACAAGCCCUUGGUGAGAUGAAUUUACCCACUUCGGCCACCAGGGGCGCUGUUGGCACAGCUUGAACUCGAGACCAGCGCUGUCCAACGGAAACCGAACCUCCAGCCAGGGGGACUGAGGGAAGGCUUCCCAGAGGAGGUGACCCUGGCAUUGGGUUCCCAGGAGUGAAGAAGAUUUUGACAAUCAGCAAGGAGAGCAUUCCAGACGAGGAAGCUGCAUGUUGAGGAAUCAGUUCACUGAGAAAUAGAUGGGAAAUAUAGGAACACAAAGAAGGAAAUUGAGACCCCACAAGACCGUGCUGCAGGCCGAUGACCAGGGGAGAGAAAGGAGAAUAUUUUGCUCACUUUCGAUCGUUAUCGACUCAUCUCCCCAAAGCCGGCAAUAUCGACCCUGCCUUCCAACACACUUCCGGAGCUUGUCUGGCACACGGGGUUGAUGCUGGGCGCUCCAAGGGGGCUGGAGCCCUCACCCCGGCUCACACUGGCCUGAGAUGAAGAAGCAGCUACAAAGUGCUGAGGCUCAGGUGGUGUCCCUGGAGGAGGCCUCUCUGUGGUUCUUCCAGCUGUGGUUCUCUGUGACUUAGAAAGUCAGAACUAAGAGUACAGAAUUCUGUUCGAGGCUCCGGUGUCAAAACAGACUCUGGGGUGAAGACCCGGCCCAGCCUCCCUCCUCAAGCCUGCUCUGCGCCCACCCUUAUCCACAUGGUGGCUUCCUGAAGCUCUUGCCGCCCCACCGGGUGAGGUGACAGCCUCCAUUUCUUGAGGAGCACUAACUCUGCCAGUCUGAUGACAUCCACAGAACCUGCGAGCCUCACGCCAGGGGGCAACCCAGGCUGACAGCUGUGGUGUCCACCUGGGACCUGCCCUGGAGGCCUUGGAAGUUGUGAAGCCCAUACUCCUUCCACCGGGCAUGCUGCUGGUGCUGGGUGCCCCGGGGAGCACAGCGGCACAGCUCCCACCUCCUGACAAAGAAGCCCAAGCCCGUGCUCCUGCCUGGCCUGGCCAUUUGAGAGGCCCCUUCCUUCCCCGAGAACCGGAAACUUCAGGCAAUGUCAAGGUCAUGCCUAGCCUGGAGGAAAUGCCUGUAAGCGGCCCAGCCCAGAGCACGGCGGGUGCAGCCCCCAGUGGAGACAGCGGGGUCCAACUUCCAGUACCCACUCACUGGCUGCAUGCCUCUAGCACAAAGCUGUCUUUCACCCCACUCUGGUCUACAGAA